GCGAGCGACGGAGAGGCAGGAGGAGGAAGAAGAGUGUGUGUGUGUGGUGUGUGUGUGUGUGUGUGUGUGUGUGUGUAGACCACCUCCGCGGGAAAUAAUGGGGAUGAUAAUGAAACGGGGGGGAAACCCUGAAUGGAUGGAGCCACGGUGACGUCACGACCAGCCGCAGAAAUGAAGCUGAGCUCCAGCCCCCCCUCCGGAUCACUCGGUCUCCAUCUCCCGAGCUGCACGCUUCUCCUGCCGGGGAGGAGAGGACACAGACACCGGAUCCCUGGAGAGACACUCAGCGGCCUCACAGCACGUGGCUUAUAGGUCAAAGCUCGGACCAUGUGGCUUCGCCCGCAGCGUGAGAGGAUGGGUAGCCUUAGGGGUUGGUUGUUAUCUUUGGUUAUCUAGCUGUAUGAGUGAUGUACAUUCUUCAUAAAGCUAGAUAACCGAAAGUAACAAGAAUCCCAUUACACUCCUGAAAAGGCAUCAAGACCCCAAAGCGCGGCACCGUACAAAAAAAAGCACAAACUCUGCCGCAUGUGCUGCAACAUGGACAACAUUUAAAGGAGAUGGGAGCCGAUGGCAGCCAAAGGCUUCCAGCACCUCAACACUGAAGGAAAGCUGGCAAAAGGAGACUAAAAACAGAGGAGAAGAAGAAGAAGAGGAACAAGAAGAAGAAUAAGGAGGAGGGGUUGCUGUUGAUUCUGCCCUCCCUCUCUCCUCACCCUCCUCUGCAUCGCCUCCUCCCUUCCUCCUCCGCUCCAUCCUCAGCCCCUUUUUUCCCAUACAGCGAGCUGCAGCCCUCGCCACCAUCUUAGAGCAACGCUGGCAUGAAAUGGAAGUGGGAAGACCAGCCAGUGCAGGAGGAUGCAGCUGCAGCGAGCUCGAUGAAAGGGAGAGCAGGACUAAAGACGGAUUCCUGCACACAUCGUGACUUUGCAACAUCCAGCUUCUGUGUUUUCCGAGAAAGGAGCGCCUGUUGGUGUUUUUUAGCCGAGCGAACAUCACGGCGGACUGCAGGAAGCACGGCGUGGAUCAGCCAGUCCACAAGAGAGACUUUAAUUAUUCUCGCUCAGAGGAAGCAGUGUCUUCAACUAACCUAGGCUCGACUUACUGUCUCGUUUGAUGAGUUGUAGUCCUCGCUUUGUUGCUCGGACUCAAAGACGCGUGAAUGUGAGACCCACGGCAGCAGUGAAUAAUACUGCACUGCGAUUGGACGGCUCUGUGUGAAUGCCGUCGUCUUUAUACUCUAUGCAACUGCUUCUUCCUUCUUUUUUUUGUGGUCCCUUUCAUCCUGGAUUUUUAUUUUGGGAUACCUUGAAGAAAGCUGACUCCCCUCCCCCCCCCGGUGUUAAUAGACUGCUACAGGACAUUACAGUCAGAGUGUGUGUGACAAAUGAUACGGCUUCCACAUGUAUUAAAAUCUCAUAUUUGCAGCCUUUAACAGACUUUGAUUUGCAGCCGUGAGCCACACAGUCUGAGUAAACGUGGGACUCGCACAUUUAAUAUUCCUUGUGGCAGGAGUGUGUUUGAUCAGCAGGAAGUAGCUCAGGAUACUGAACACACCUCACUGCCGUUUCAGUUACCUGCUUCACAUGGUUGGGUUGAGACAUGACAAAUACAUUGGCUUCAACCACUGCCUUAAUAUCCUGUCCUUGACAUUAACACACACACUCACACACACAUGCCCAAAUGCAAUAAAGCGCGUACUAUCGCAGCCUAAUUCAUUCUAUAUUAAUUUUCGGGAAGUGGCAAAUUUUUUAUUACGAUUGAUAAUCUAUGCAAAUCUUUUAAAUAUUACUUUAAACAAUCUGUGUCGACGCAGGGCUUUUUUGCAAUUGAUUCAAGGGAGACUAUCUCGGCCUAAUUUAGAAAAUGUAUUCUUUUGAUAAUCAUGCACAUCCCAGUGCUCAAGACAAUUACUUAUCUGCCUGGAUAAGCUUGAAAUUAUGUUUUUAAUCUUUAGCAAAGAAAAAAGAAAAGUCCCUCUUCUGAUAUCAGUCCAGAGGCACGAGUAGUGGGGAUGAAAUCCGUUGCUCUUCAUCUCUUCUUCCCUUACAUGUAGAUCAGACAUAUCUAUUCCGCUCCUUCAUAGCUUAUUCUUCUAUAUAAAUAUAUAUUUAAAAGCAGCAAUAUUUGUGUUAUGCAAUCUAAGUUGGUGGGAGUGUUCACCACAUGUGCCUUUGUCUGGAAUAAAACGUGUUGGAAUAAUAAUUAUAAUAAAGGUUUACAUUGAAAA